rnacentral:tRNA from 1 species
GCCCUUGUAGCUCAGUUGGGAGAGCGGCUGCCUUGUAAGCAGACGGUCCGUGGUUCGAUUCCUCGCGAUGGCACCA